ACGGAGGGGACUAGCGUUGUUCGGAAUUACUGGGCGUAAAGCGCACGUAGGCGGAUUUGUAAGUCAGGGGUGAAAUCCCGGGGCUCAACCUCGGAACUGCCUUUGAUACUGCAAAUCUCGAGUCCGGAAGAGGUGAGUGGAAUUCCUAGUGUAGAGGUGAAAUUCGUAGAUAUUGGGAAGAACACCGGUGGCGAAGGCGGCCUGCUGGGCAGUGGCUGACGCUGAGGCGCGACAGCGUGGGGAGCAAACAGGA
rnacentral:rRNA from 1 species